UAUACGACCGUACCGCAAACCGACACUGGUGCGCGAGAUGAGUAUUCUAAGGCGCUUGAGAGAACUCAGGAGAAGGAACUCGGCAAAUUGACACCGUAACUUCGGAAGAAGGUGUGCCCUAUUAGUGUGUAGUGAACAACGAAGCAUGAAUGGGUUGCAAAAAAUCGGUGGCUGCGACUGUUUAUUAAAAACACAGCACUCUGCAAACACGAAAGUGGACGUAUAGGGUGUGACGCCUGCCCGGUGCUGGAAGAUUAAAUGAUGGGGUGCAAGCUCUUGAUUGAAGUCCCAGUAAACGGCGGCCGUAACUAUAACGGUCCUAAGGUAGCGAAAUUCCUUGUCGGGUAAGUUCCGACCUGCACGAAUGGCGUAACGAUGGCCACACUGUCUCCUCCUGAGACUCAGCGAAGUUGAAAUGUUUGUGAUGAUGCAAUCUCCCCGCGGAAAGACGGAAAGACCCCAUGAACCUUUACUGUAGCUUUGUAUUGGACUUUGAACAGAUCUGUGUAGGAUAGGUGGGAGGCUUUGAAGCAGGGUCGCUAGAUCUUGUGGAGCCAACGUUGAAAUACCACCCUGGUGUGUUUGAGGUUCUAACCUAGGUCCAUUAUCUGGAUCGGGGACAGUGCAUGGUAGGCAGUUUGACUGGGGCGGUCUCCUCCCAAAGCGUAACGGAGGAGUUCGAAGGUACGCUAGUUACGGUCGGACAUCGUGACGAUAGUGCAAUGGCAUAAGCGUGCUUAACUGCGAGACUGACAAGUCGAGCAGAUGCGAAAGCAGGACAUAGUGAUCCGGUGGUUCUGUAUGGAAGGGCCAUCGCUCAACGGAUAAAAGGUACUCUGGGGAUAACAGGCUGAUACCGCCCAAGAGUUCAUAUCGACGGCGGUGUUUGGCACCUCGAUGUCGGCUCAUCUCAUCCUGGGGCUGUAGCCGGUCCCAAGGGUAUGGCUGUUCGCCAUUUAAAGAGGUACGUGAGCUGGGUUUAAAACGUCGUGAGACAGUUUGGUCCCUAUCUUCCGUGGGCGCUGCAGAUUUGAGGAAGCCUGCUCCUAGUACGAGAGGACCGGAGUGGACACACCUCUGGUGUAUCGGUUGUCACGCCAGUGGCAUUGCCGAGUAGCUAAGUGUGGAAGAGAUAACCGCUGAAAGCAUCUAAGCGGGAAACUCGUUUCAAGAUGAGAUCUGCCGGGGCCUUGAGCCCCCUAAAGAGUCGUUCAAGACCAGGACGUUGAUAGGUCAGGUGUGGAAGUGGAA
rnacentral:rRNA from 1 species